rnacentral:lncRNA from 1 species
GAGACUCUGUCUCAAAAAACAAACAGCGACAACAAAAAUUCAAAUACCUAUUGUGGCUCAUUUAUAUCUGAUAUAGUGAGUUUCACAAUACCUUACUUUUCAUUUAAUCUUCCUCUGUCAGCUAUAGAUCUUGGGAAGGAGGUUUGCAUAUGUGUAUGAAAAACUCACACCCAAAGUAUUUUUUCUCUAUUCUCACUGAACAACAACACAGACUUCUGUGACCAAAUGUGGGGGAGGUCUCUUCACACACCAAGCAACCAACCAAUUCUGCAGCAGGCGCCAGCUGGGUGUCCUCCAAGUCAAUUCAAUUCUGAUGCUAUCUGCCUGGAGAUAGCCUUGGAACCCACAGAUUAAGGGCUCAGUCCCACAAGGCCACCCCCUCUUUCCCACCAAUCCAAAGUCCAGGCCUCUGGAACUUAGGACUUCAAGUUGGGGUUCCCCUUUUUGGGGUUUAAUUUGUUAGAGUGGCUCACAACUCAGGGAAACACUUACUUAAGUUUACCAGUUUAUUACAAAGUGUAUCUUAAAGGAUAAAAUAAACAGCCAGAUGGAGACAAACAUGAUGAGGUCUGGACCGGUCCCAAGCACAGGAGCUUCUGUCCCCGUGGAGCUGAGAGGCAUCACCCUCCUGGCACACAGAUCAGUUCUUGGUCGGCAUCCAUGUGUUCAGCAGUCCUCUUGGGCCUUCUAUGGAGACUUCACUGGAUAAGCAUGGCUGACCAUUGUGCAGAAAUAGCAUUGGACAAAAAGGGUAAGGUCUAAUAUGAAUAGGCAGAGUAGGAAAAGCCCGCAAGUCCUGUCUGUUCACAUUCUUCCUGGACUCUCUGUGCAGCAGUUCAUCCUCCAGGGUAUGGGGUAGAACCCUCUUUAGAAGGAGGGUCUUAGGACCUACAAUCAAAUAAGGUAGGUCAGGGAAUUUCUUUAUGGCCAGCUCCAAGACAAAAAGGUGGGAGAAGAUUUCUGCCUUGGGAAGAAAAAUAAAGCAGGUGAAAGGAGGACAGGAGAAGGUCAGAGAGAGAAAGAUUCUGUUUUCUGGGGUCUACUGAGUCCUAAAGUGCCCCAACAUUAUAACAAAAACUAUGGGAGUAGCAAGCCAGGAACUGUUGAUUAAAAACAUAUAUAUAUAUAUAUAUAUAUAAAAUAACACAGUGUAAUAUAAUUGUUUAGUAUCCUAAGUGCAUGAAAUAACAUGACUAAUAUAUAUUGAAGUUGAGGAAUGCAAUACACAGCAUAGAUCAUUGGUCUUCUGAGACAGUACUCAUGUCCAUUUGAUAGUAUGCCAAAAGGCUGUCUCAGUGUCAUUGAUGGAUGGAACAUUCUAUGUGUUAAGUAGGUUUCUUACAUCUUUUUUUUUUUUUUUUGGAGACAGGGUCUCAUUCUGUCGCCCCAAGCUGGAGUGCAGUGGCAUGAACAUGACUCACUGCAGUCUCAAUCCCUGGGGUUCUCUCUGGCAAUCCUCCUGCCUCAGCCUCCCAAGUAGCUGGGACCACAGGCACACAGCACUAUACCCAGGUCACUUUUUUACAUGUUUCGCAGAGAUGAGGUCCUGCCAUAUUGCCCAGGCUGAUCUUGAACUCCUGGGGCUCAAGUGAUCCUCCCACCUCAGUCUCCCAAAGUGCUGGGAUUAUGGGUAUGAGCCACCACACCCGGCCUCAUCUACUUUUAAAAUACAAUUUAUAUUGUUUUGUUUUUCUUUCUUUUUGAGAUGGAGUCCCACUGUGUUGCCAGGCUGGAGUGCAGUGAUGCGCUCUCGGCUCACUGCAACCUCUGCCUCCCGGGUUCAAGCGAUUCUCCUGCCUCAGCCUCCCGAGUAGCUGGGACUACAGGCGCGCCACCACUAUGCCCAGCUGAUUUUUGUAUUUUUAGUAGAGACAGGGUUUCACCAUGUUGGCUCAAUCUCUUGACCUCAUGAUCCGCCUGCCUUGGCCUUCCAAAGUGCUGGAAUUACAGGCGUGAGCCACUGCGCCUGGCCUAAAACACAAUUUAAAGGGCAAAAAAAAUCAUGACUAGUAUUUUUUUUUUUUUUUUUUUUUUACAAAAUAACCUGUGGUAUCUCAUAAAACCCAUUUGGGAAAAUGUUUAAGUAACUUGAAUUAAGAUUCACUUAGGUGGGGCAUGGUGGCUUAUGCCUGUAAUUCCAGCACUUUGGGAGGCCAAGGCGGGCAGAUCACCUGAAAUCAGGAGUUCCAGACCAGCCUGGCCAACGUGGCAAAAACACAUCUCUACUAAAAAUACAAGAAAAUUAGCCAGGCAUGUUGGGGUGCACCUGUAGUCCCAGCUACUUGAGAGGCUGAGGCGGGAGAAUCACUUGAGCCUGGGAGGCAGAGGUUGCAGUGAGCCGAGAUCACGCCACUGCACUCCAGCCUGAGCAACAGAGACAGACUUCGUUUAAAAGGAAAAAAAGACUCACUUGGAAUCCUGGUCAUGAGUCUCUCCAGCCUGAGGGACAAUCAGUGAAAGACAUUGCAGAAAGGAGAGCUCAGAUGCUGUCUACAUCUAAGGUGUGCUUACAUCUUUUACUUAACAUAGUCAUUAGUUCUAUUGUAAAGGUUCUGUGUUUCCAAAAGUUCCUUUAUUUCAUUCACCACCUGUACCUGGCAGUCCACACUAGUAGAGUUUUCUUUGGAAAGUUCGAAGAGAACAAGGUAAAAUGUCGCUUGCUUUCUGAUGUUUUGAAGUAAAGAAAAAAAUAUAAGGAAGUUAUUUAGGUCCAUUAUUUAGGUUCAUUUAAACUAGGUAUGCUAUUUAUAAGGAAAUGUAAUCCUACCUAAACCCUGAUGGAGUUGUCACAAAUGACAUCAUCCAGAAUUAGAAACAAUUUUCCUUCAUUUUAGGUAACAAAAAUAUUUUGGGACAAUAGAGGCUACAAGGAGUUGAGCAGCAAAUGCAGCUGGAAGUCUUCAUGAUCCAAAGGCUUCUCCAUGGAGGAACUCUCAGCCAAGAAGCUCAAAGAUGGACAUAGAGACACAACAGUCCCCUACACAUCCUUGAGAUGCACAGAUUAGCACUCCACGUUGUGAAAGCUGCUGUUUCCAUUUUGCCCCUUCUCUCUUCUCAGCCAGUCACCUGCAGCAGCAGCAGUCCAGGUCAGAGCCUCCUGCCCCAGAGGAAAUCUUGUCAUUUCGCUCGACAAAGGUUCCAUACCCUCAGCACCCUGACUUAUCGCCAUCUUCUCUAAUAAGAUAAGUGUCUGACAAUUUCACACUCAGGUUGGCCUCUCUCCCAAAGGAUAUUGGACUCAGGACUCUAGUAAUUCCAAAGGGAUGAGUCUGUAUUAGGAAGAAUUGUAAACAAGCAUAAUGAGCCUAGUGGAGUAGAAGUGACAUAUCUGGUAGGCCAGGCGCGGUGGCUCACAUCUGUAAUCCCAGAACUUUGGGAGGCCAAGACAGGUGGAUCACUUGAGAUCAGGAGUUCGAGACCAGCCUGGCCAACAUGGUGAAACCCUGUCUGUCUCUACUAAAAAUGCAAAAAUUAGCCAGGCAUGGUGGUGCAAAGCAUGUGGUUCCAGCUACUCGAGAGGCUGAGGCAGGAGAAUCUCUUGAACCCAGGAGGCAGAGGUUGCAGUGAUCCAAGGUUGUGCCACUGCACUCCAGCCUGGGCGACAGAGUGAGACUCAGAAAAAUGACAUAUUUGGAGGUAGGAAAUCUGAACCUUAGACUUGACCACAAAACCUUCUCUCUGGGCCUCAACUCCAUCAUCAGCAAAGCCAGGGGGCUGAGGGGAUGUGCGAAGAUCUCUUCCAGUUCUAGCACUAGAAGACCCUAAGAAGGCUAUGAUGCCUUCCCGGUACUGGUAAGCCAGGGGGCCAGCCCUGCCUGUGGGACAAAUAAGGCAGAGACAGAGGCUAUGACGAGGUUACAAGCACAGAGUGAGUCAGUCUGGAGGUUAGGAAAAGCAGCCAGCCGGAAAUCAGCCCACACUGGGUAAGGAUGUGUGGGUGGUGGAGAACGCUCCCUCACACCAGAUCUUUCACCACAGCUGCCUGCAUUUCACCUUCUCUGUCAUCCUCAGAGACGAGAUGCAAUGAGAAGCAAAACAUUCAGAAGGCAAAGGUGGUGAUUAGGCCUUGUAAUCAAAAGGGACCCUACUGCUCUCGACAAGCCAUUAGCUUUCCCAGCAAUUCAGUGCCCCCCAUUUAAGUCUCUUGACUGUCUGUUAAAGAUGCUGUGACUUCUGUCCGCUGUCGAAUGACUGAUAUAGUCAAGAGACCAUGGGACAGAUUCUCGGGUAAUUCUGAUUUUAUUUCCUGAAAAGAAAAAAGUAGAAUCUUUUAAAAAAUAUAUCAACCUCAUCCAUCACACACUACAAAUUUUCCCUGUGAUUGAAGACCUGUGUUCAACAUAGCAAACCUCUUUGCCCUCACACCUGGUUUUAAAAUUAAGCUUGAAAGUAAAAGGUUUUAUUAUGUACUUGUUUUUAAUAGUCAAAAGUUCAUGACAGUGGAUGAGUGUGUUUCAUAAUUUUUGUUUGUAAUGGAAGCCACAGUUAGACAUUUAAAGCAAGUAUAGCAGGCUAACAACCUCUCCUUCCUGUGGUUAAAAUGAUAGGAAGUGAUUUAUAAACUGCCAUUAGAGUUAGCUCAGCUAAGCAAUAUUGGCUUUUGUUAGCAUGAUCUAAAACUCUUGGCAAACUAAAAUGAAAAGCGUAAUCUUCAUCUGUUGUCAAACGAUGAGAUUCAUUACCCAAAAAAGUCGUAAGACUUAAAUAAGGAUAUAGAUGUAUAAGAUCUUUUUAAAAUUUAGACUUACAUGCAUAACCAGGAGUUAUCUUAAUUCAGUAUUGGUGGUCUAUAACUCAGAUCUUUAGAAAAUAAGCUAAUCACUAGAGAGAUUAAAGAGAGAUUAACAAUAGGAAGCUGUUCUUUUACUAACCUCUAAAAACCAGAUAUGGGCUACACCUGAAUGCAAAACACUAUCUGUAAUAAUUGCAAUGAAAAUUUUAGCAAAAUCAUAAAAACCUUAUUGCCUUCUGAAGAUCAAGCCCAUUUUCCAAUAAUUGGUUAAUUCAAAUGAAAGUCUCCACCUUCUUAAUUUGGGCCCAUUGUUAAUCUCUCCACAGAAAACCGCACAAGUCCUAUCAAAGACUUUUGUGAAAAACCACUAAUUAAAGAGAAGUUUGUAUCUGACAUAAUAGAGAUUCUCAAAUAUUUGUUGAUUAAUUGUCCUGCAUUGUUACUCUCUAGUGCUUGUAUUAACCAAAGAGUAUUGUCUUGGCCCUGGAAUAGAAAAACAUAUUUGAGGCUGGAUGCAGUGGCUCUCAACUGUGAUCCCUGCAGAGCUUUGGGAGGCCAAAGUGGGAGGAUUGCUGGAGACCAGGAGUUCAAGAUUAGCCUGGGCAACAAAGCGAGAUCCUGUCUCUACAAAUGUUUUUUUAAAAAUUAGCCAGGUGUGUGUCUCAUACCUGUAGCCCUAGCUACUCAGGAGGCUGGAGUGGGAGGAUCAACUUGAGCCCAGGAGGUCAAGGCUGCAGUGAGCUCUGAUUGCGCCACUGCACCCCAGCUUGGGAUAGAGAGCAAGAACUUGUCUCAAAAAGAAGAAAGAAAGAAAGAAAGAAAGAAAGAAAGAAAGAAAGAAAGAAAGAAAGAAAGAAAGAAAGAAAGAAAGAAAGAAAGAAAGAGGAAGAAAGAAAGAAAGAAAAAGGAAGAAAGAAAGGAAGGAAGAAAAGCAUAUUUGAAUGUCUCUAGAAAUAAGCGGAUAAAAAUCUAGGUGUAUCGAGAAGACUAAUAAACUAAAAACUUUCAAAAAGUAAAAAAAAGAAAGCCUGGCUGUCAUCCACAGUAUAUUUACAUUUUGUUCAAUCCUAGCAUACACAUAAAGUAAUUUCACAUUUGCAAACUCAUACCCUUGUGAAAACACAUUUGUAAACUAUAGUAAAGUAUUUGUGCAUAGUUCUUUUUGUCUUUAGACUUAAAGAUACAGUCAAAAACUCUUGCUUUUUUAAAAUUAAUUUGUUUAGCUCUUUCGUGCCCCAAUUCUGUGUGGUUCUAAUUAUAAUUUGUAAAAGAGUUGAGUUCAUUUGUUACUGUUUGUAUUCCAUUCCCCCACAUCUGGUAAAUUUAAAUUAUUUGUUUGUUUGAAAAAAAAAUAUCUAGGUGUAUUAACAUCAUCAAAUUAAUAAAACAAUGUUAUUUAAAAUAUAGAACAUAUCAUAAGCUUUCAAAUCAUAGUGGCCAAACAGCCACCAUCUUCAAGAAUCAAUAAUAAAAGAAGUGCUAGUAACUCUUACAGAUGGAUGAAUGACAACAUCAUAGAGUAUUACAGAGCCAUUCAAAAAAAAAUGAAUAGGACUUAUGCCAGUUGACUUGGAGAAUUUCUAGGAGGUGAUAGUGAGUACAAAAGAUAAGAUGCAGAGAUAAGUUCAUAGUAUGAUCCCAUCUUUGUAAUGUAACAAAAUACCCACUUAUAAAUGUGUUUACAUAUGUGUGAAUCUCAAUGUUUUUAUACAAGUAUAUGAUGUAUGCAAGUCUGUAUGCAUAGUCAUAUAUGGUCAUAAGGCAGAUGGUUAGAUAGAAAAAAAGUACUAAAGAGUACACCAGGUGGCUAAUACUUUUCCUGGGGAACUGGAGGGUGGGGACAAUACAGGACAAAGGCAAAGGAAAAAGGAGACUGAACCAAAAAAUAUGAUUGUACUUGUGUAAAAGUAUAUGUAUGCUUUUUAGAAAAAGAAAAGUCCAGAAACAUUGGCUCAUACCUGUAAUCCCAGCACUUUGGGAGGCCAAGACAGGCAGAUCACUUGAAGUCAGGAGCUCGAGACCAGCCUGGCCAACAUAGCAAAACCCCGUCUCUACUAAAAACACAAAAAUUAGCCGGGCAUAGUGGCACAUGCCUGUAACCCCAGCUACUCAAGAGGCUGAGAUAUGAGAAUUGCUUGAGCCCGGGAGGCGGAGGUUGCAGUGAGCUGAGAUUGCGCCACUGCACUCCAGCCUGAAUGACAGAGUUAGACUCUGUUUCCAAAAAAAUGAAAAUGAAAAAAGAGAGAUGUCUACAAACUUAUAGGGAUGGCUUUGGAAUAUUAAAAAGUUACAGAGUAAUGUGUCUAGUCUGAUUCUCUUUUUUUUUUAAGAUAGCUUUACUUUUUCUUUUUACAAAAUUAACACUUUGUCAUUACAAUAUAUAUCAGAAAAAUAGAAAAGCAGAAGGAAGAAAGUCAAGAUUAUCUAUAAUCCUAAGAACCACUGCAACCACCACCGAGUUCUCGAAGCCUGUCCUUCUGGGUUCUACUGUUGAGGAAAACGCGAUCACACAGGUACUAUGCUACAAUCCUCCUUUAUCGGGUAAAAAUAAAUGAUUACUGUCACCUGGCCAGGUGCUCCUUUCUCACACAGCUGGCCUCCCUGUCUCUGGGAGGCACAGGAGACCCCGCCCAUCCUCUGUUAGCUCUUAGCCUGAGUGUUCCCCUUGGCCUCUGGCUCCUCUCCAUAGUGCGCCCCGGGCCAAGACCUGCUGUCCGGAAACAGUCACCUUCUGGGUCUCCCUCCCCACCUCCAAUCCCAUGAGAGGGAGAGAAAUUCUAGGUCACUUCCAUGACCCUCUGGAAGCAAGAACAACUCAGGCAAAUUAGAUCCUGGCCCACUCUCUGUUCCCUAGUCUACUUCAAAGUGGCUUUCCCCCAGGUUCACAAGGGAGCAACUCUUGAGGUGAUCUCCUCCCAGGGCUACAAACAUUAAAAUGGACCAAAAGCCCCAAGCUCUCAGCAUUCCCCUCAGCUCCAGUAGCACCCCUCCUUUCUCUGGAUUCUGUUCUGGAAAUAUGUGAUCAAGACAAUGUGUCUUCUUCCUUACCUUUUCUGUUGUUCUGUCCUAUGUGCUAAUUUGGGGAAUCUUCUCUAGGCAAACCUGGUUUCAAAUCUAUUGUUUGGCAGCAAAAACCUAUUUUGAACGUCAGGG